UUUUUUUUAGAUUUGGUCUUUUAUUGUGUCCUGGAUUUCCUGGAUGUUUUGGAUUAGAAGUUAUUUAUGUUUUGAAUUUGCUUUAACCAUUGUGUUAAUAUCUUCUAAAGUACAUUCUAUGACUAAAAUUUUCUCUUCUAUCUCUUGCAUUCUGUUGUUGAUGAUUGCAUCUGUAUACCAUGGACUCUUUCCUAGGUUUUUCCAUUUCCAGGGUUGUCUCCUUUUGUGUUUUCUUUAUUGUUUCUACUUUCACUUGGGCUGCUUUGUUCAAUUUUGUCACCUAGUUCAAUGUGUUUUUCUGUAUUUCUUUAAGGUAUUUAUUUGUUUCUUCUUGAAGGGCUUCUACAUGUUUACCUGUAUUUCUUUCAGUGAGUUAUUGAUUUCCUCCUUAAAGGACUCUGUUGUAUUCAUGAGAUAGAAUUUUAGGUCAGCAUCCUAUUUUUCAGGUGUGUUGGCAUAUUCAGGGUUUGCUGUGGUAGAAAAACUGUGUUCUGAUAGUAUAUUGCCUUCUGUUGCUAUGGUCAUGUGCUUGCCUCUUAACCUAUUGUUAUCUCUGGCAUAAACUGGCCUGGUUGUCUUUGUCUGGAGCCUGCCUCCUGUGUCCUUUUGCUGCUUCAGGACCUUUAUAAGGUUUUCAGACUGUGGGGUACAGUGUGGUGGUAAGCCUUUACACCAACGAUCUGUUGCCCUGGCUGCAGCAGAUCUCAUAGAAGGCCUUUAGACUUUGAGGUCUAUAUCCCUGGGUACAGCAGAUCUCCUGGGAGGCUUUCAGACUGUGGGUGUUCAGAGGGGCAGAUAAGCUGAUGAUCUGCUCUGCUGCCCUGGGUGCAGCAGAUCUGCUGAGAUACAUUUAGUCUGUGGAGUCUUCAGAGGGACAGACAAGCUGAUGAUCUGGCCCAGCAGAAGGUGCAGGCAGGAUGGGAGAUGUAGUUCAACUGGAGGGGAUGUGUCUUGAGUCUGCUGCGCUCCUCAGGGGUCCCUGCUAUUGCAAAUUUUUGGGAAACCCCCAUACUUGUUGCCCUGGGUGCAGCAGAUUUCUUGGCAGGCCUUCAGAUUGUGGGGUCUUCAGAAGGCAGACAAUCUGAUGAUCUGCCCAGGCAGAAGGCACAAGCCAAAAGGACUUUUAUCUAAAUCAUCUCGUGUGAAGGUAUGUUAAGGUUCAUCAAGUGUGUGCUAUAGUAGAAUCUACAGCAGUUUUUAGGACUUAUCUACAAAGAAGAAAGAAAAUCCUGCAGUGGCAAUGCAGACAAACUCUGAAUUGAAAGGAUAAAGAAAUACCUUUGGCUUGCCAGCACAAACCCAAACAACAGCAAAAGGUCCUUAACAACCUGAGGAAUCCAGAGAAGUGUUUUAGGAAAUGCCUGAUUAAUGCUUAUAUAAUGACAUUGACAAAAAUUGAUGAGCACAUUCAUACAAAAAGGAUAUGAUUUGAGUCAACAUUCAAAGGGGAUGGGGGCUUGUGGAGGGGAAACUAGGAAAAGGGAUAACAUUUGAAAUUUAAAUAAAAUAACCAAUAAAAAAAUGAAAAGAAACUUUAUGAGAUAAUGCAAGGAUUUUAAUCAUGAAUAAAGUACGAUUAAUAAUAGCUCCAAUUACAGCACAUUUUUAUUUUAGCCACUCCUGGAGGAUAUUAAGCAUUUCGACAGAAUAUUUCAACAGAUGGAACUUUUUUCCAGUAUCUGGAUUAUUUUUCAGGUUAGACACAUGUCUGUUCACAGACUGGUCAUCUCUGAAUGAAAGCAAAAAGUUGUUUUUACUCCUAGGCAUCCUCAAAGCCUCUCCGUUUUCUUGUUUUUGUUUUUGUCUAUUUUGCUCACUGUUGCUAAAGUUACCAUAUUCUCCAAAUGUUCCUUUAUCAAGUCACCAAAAUCACAGUGAGUGUAUGACCUUCUGGGUACUAGGUUGUGUGGUCAUGUCAAAUCGAAGUUUAAUAUUCCACACAGUCUGCAAAGACAGAUGUAAGAAAUUUUGUAAUAAUAUUUGUCUUGGUUCAUGUGAAUGGCUGAAUACAAUUCCUUAUUCUAUUGUGGAUCAACAGAUCAAGACUCAGAGAGGAAAGAUUUUACUUCCCAUCUCUGGUACAUCAAAUAUCGGAAGGUUUAGGAACAUCGUCUCCCACUGAAGCCAGACAAGACAUCCUUCUCCUACAUAGGUGUCCGAGACCAUGACUAUCCAGUGACACUACAAUGAUCAGCAUUCAGAUGAACUUUAGUCCACGGAACUCAAGAAAUGUCACAGCUUUAGCUUCCCUGUCUGGGUGGCUUAUGAAAUAUCUAAAUUCAGCUGCACAGGGGCAAUUCCCCUUAAAACCUUGGUUCAGCAAAAAAACCAGCAGCAAAGAGUCUUUUACCACAGAUUCCACAACCAACUUACAUUCUACUAAAAUACCUUAUUCAUGUGUAAUUAAAGAUUAAAAAGUUCUUUUAUGAAUCACUUGGACACUUAACAGUUUAUCUGUUUGCAUAACCCCUCAUGUUCUAUGGGAUCCUACUUCCAGUAACUCAUUAUUUGGGAGUGACCUCUCAAAAAAGAUUUUUUUUUGUAGAAAAUCGAACUGAAAAUUGUCUCAAGAUAUUUGGGGAUGAUGACAAUAUAUUUUAUAAAGUUACUCAAAAAAAGGUCUGAUGACAUAAAGAUGCCUUCAGGUUCGCUAAAAACUGUUCAUAAACCGUGUGCUAUGAAAGAAGCCAUAGGUAACCACAGUGAGAAAACUUUCUCUAAUGAUAAUGCUGAAGAAUUAAAGAUUACAUCUGCUGCCCCUCAGAAGAAAGGUCCUACAGACAGCAGUGCACAACAGAGCAACUUCCACAUAUUGUAUGUAACAGUGUGAUCAAGUGGUAGAGGAUGACUGACGAAGGUUCCAGCCCUCUCUUUUUCAAUGAGCCUUUGCACCUCCCGCUUAGCCAUAGAAGACUAUAUUAUUACAAGACACUCCUGUUAUUAUAUUUUACUAUAUUAUUGAUUACAAACAGUUUUCACUUAUUAUGUUUAUUUUCUGCUGUAUAUUACACAUUCUUUAUUAU
rnacentral:lncRNA from 1 species